AUGAUCUCUACAUCCCUACUGCUGCUGCUGCUGGCGGCCGUACACUGUGUUCACUGUGUUGAGCUGAUCCAGACCGGAUCCACAGUAUUAACUCCUGGUCAGUCACUGGCUCUGACCUGUAAAGUGUCUGGAUAUUCAUUAACUGAUAGCAGCUACUGUACAGACUGGAUACGACAACCUGCAGGAAAAACUCUGGAGUGGAUUGGAGAGAUAUGUGGUAGCGGUAACACUUUCUACAGUGAGAAACUGAAAAGCAGGUUUCAGGUUUCCAGAGACACGUCCAGCAGCACAGUGACAUUAACAGGGCAGAACAUGCAGACUGAAGACACAGCUGUGUAUUACUGCGCUCGUUACACACAGUGAGACAGAUAAACAACGUCCCUGUACAAAAACUCCAAGUACACUGAAACAGUGCUAGCUCCCAACAUCCUCCUUCAUUAAAAAAGAAAUAAUAAUGAUACCAGUUCUGACUACAGCACCGGAGCCUCAUGAACAAUUCGACAGUCGGUUUCUGAUUACAUUGAAUUGAUUAGGCUCAUGUUCAUUUCACUCAUGUUCAUUUCAGCUAUCAAUAUCUGACAUUCACCUGUGUGUGAGUAAAUCACACUUACAGCAAGGUUUUACAAAUCUUCAGACAGACUGACUGUUUGUUGAAUUUGCUUCUUACACACAUUUUCAUGCAUGGU